GAUGAACGCUAGCGGUAGGCUUAACACAUGCAAGUCGAGGGGUAUGCCGAUUUAUCGGCAGAGACCGGCGCACGGGUGCGUAACGCGUAUGCAAUCUACCUUUCACAGAGGGAUAGCCCAGAGAAAUUUGGAUUAAUACCUCAUAGUAUAGCAAUUUCGCAUGAAACCACUAUUAAAGUUCCAACGGUGAAAGAUGAGCAUGCGUCCCAUUAGCUAGAUGGUAAGGUAACGGCUUACCAUGGCUACGAUGGGUAGGGGUCCUGAGAGGGAGAUCCCCCCACACUGGUACUGAGACACGGACCAGACUCCUACGGGAGGCAGCAGUGAGGAAUAUUGGUCAAUGGACGCAAGUCUGAACCAGCCAUGCCGCGUGCAGGAUGACGGUCCUAUGGAUUGUAAACUGCUUUUGUACGAGAAGAAACAACAUUACGUGUAAUGUCUUGACGGUAUCGUAAGAAUAAGGAAUCGGCUAACUCCGUGCCAGCA
rnacentral:rRNA from 1 species